rnacentral:rRNA from 1 species
GACGAACGCUGGCGGCGUGCCUAAUACAUGCAAGUCGAGCGGACCGACGGGAGCUUGCUCCCUUAGGUCAGCGGCGGACGGGUGAGUAACACGUGGGUAACCUGCCUGUAAGACUGGGAUAACUCCGGGAAACCGGGGCUAAUACCGGAUGCUUGAUUGAACCGCAUGGUUCAAUCAUAAAAGGUGGCUUUUAGCUACCACUUGCAGAUGGACCCGCGGCGCAUUAGCUAGUUGGUGAGGUAACGGCUCACCAAGGCGACGAUGCGUAGCCGACCUGAGAGGGUGAUCGGCCACACUGGGACUGAGACACGGCCCAGACUCCUACGGGAGGCAGCAGUAGGGAAUCUUCCGCAAUGGACGAAAGUCUGACGGAGCAACGCCGCGUGAGUGAUGAAGGUUUUCGGAUCGUAAAACUCUGUUGUUAGGGAAGAACAAGUACCGUUCGAAUAGGGCGGUACCUUGACGGUACCUAACCAGAAAGCCACGGCUAACUACGUGCCAGCAGCCGCGGUAAUACGUAGGUGGCAAGCGUUGUCCGGAAUUAUUGGGCGUAAAGCGCGCGCAGGCGGUUUCUUAAGUCUGAUGUGAAAGCCCCCGGCUCAACCGGGGAGGGUCAUUGGAAACUGGGGAACUUGAGUGCAGAAGAGGAGAGUGGAAUUCCACGUGUAGCGGUGAAAUGCGUAGAGAUGUGGAGGAACACCAGUGGC